AUCGCUUCUCGGCCUUUUGGCUAAGAUCAAAGUUUAGUUUCUGUUCUUAUCGAAUUAACCCCCAAUAUUUUGUAGAAGUUAUUUUCUUCGUUUACCUAAAUCUGUACUGAGACCGCCAUUCUUAGUAUUAAAGAGUCCGCAGGUUCUGAAUUAGUCCUCCAAGGCCUCACGCAUU
rfam:Oesophagostomum dentatum strain OD-Hann O_dentatum-1.0_Cont735945.1, whole genome shotgun sequence.